GGCGGCGGGUGCACGGCCGUCGUUGCCCAGCCCGUCAAACGGCUGGGCGUUGAGGAAGUUCCACCCGCCCAAAAUCGAAGGAACGCGAGUUCCCUUGCUUAAGGCAAGACGGGGAAACAGAAACGGUUACCCGCGCGGGAGCAGGAUGAGCGAAAAGCGACGUUUCCCGCGACAGGGAUGAAACGGUCCCCGUUAGGGCGCAAGGCCAAAGUCCCGUUGCGAACGCUCGCGACGGGCGAGAGCCGCUUAGUCGAAUGCCGUGGACAACAGAAGGUGGACUACGGCCCGCCGCC
rnacentral:RNase_P_RNA from 6 species